rnacentral:rRNA from 1 species
CGAACGGGUGCGUAACACGUGAACAACCUGCCCUCGUGUGGGGGAUAGCCAUGCUAACGCGUGGGUAAUACCGCAUACGUUCCUCUGGGGGAGUCCCUGGGGGAGGAAAGCUCCGGCGCACGGGGAGGGGUUCGCGGCCUAUCAGCUAGUUGGUGCGGUAACGGCGCACCAAGGCGACGACGGGUAGCUGGUCUGAGAGGAUGGCCAGCCACAUUGGGACUGAGAGACGGCCCAG